CAAUUCUCUAUCUGGAGAGAUCCCAGAGGACUUUGGCAGGCUGAAGAAACUGACACAGUUGGACCUUUCAGAUAACCAUCUCAGUGGGAACAUUCCUGAGGAGCUUGGGGAGAUCGUCGAGAUAAACACGCUUGAUCUGUCACACAAUGAGCUUUCCGGUCAGUUGCCCGUGCAGUUGGGGAAUCUCAGACUGGCUCGUUUCAACAUAUCCUAUAACAAGCUCUCAGGGCCUAUACCCAGUUUCUUCAAUGGCUUGGAGUACCGAGACAGCUUCUUGGGCAACCCUGGCCUGUGCUAUGGGUUCUGCCGUAGCAAUGGCAAUUCUGAUGGCAGACAGAGCAAGAUUAUCAAGAUGGUGGUCACCAUCAUAGGUGUCAGUGGGAUCAUCCUACUCACUGGCAUCGCUUGGUUCGGAUACAAGUACAGGAUGUACAAGAUCAGUGCUGCUGAAUUGGAUGAUGGAAAAUCUAGUUGGGUGCUGACAUCCUUCCACAAGGUGGAUUUUAGCGAGAGGGCCAUUGUCAAUAACCUUGAUGAGAGCAACGUGAUUGGCCAGGGUGGCGCAGGCAAGGUGUACAAGGUGGUUGUUGGGCCACAGGGUGAGGCCAUGGCUGUCAAGAAGCUCUGGCCUAGCGGUGCGGCGAGCAAAAGCAUAGACUCGUUUAAGGCUGAGGUUGCCAUGCUAAGCAAAGUUCGGCACAGGAACAUUGUAAAGCUUGCGUGCAGCAUCACAAACAACGGCAGCAGGUUGCUUGUCUACGAGUACAUGGCAAAUGGUAGCCUGGGGGAUGUGCUCCACAGUGAGAAACGCCACAUCUUGGAUUGGCCCAUGAGGUAUAAGAUUGCUGUUAACGCUGCUGAAGGACUCUCAUACCUGCACCAUGACUGUAAGCCCGUGAUCGUCCAUCGAGAUGUGAAGUCGAACAACAUCUUGCUCGACGCGGAGUAUGGUGCCAAGAUUGCAGAUUUUGGUGUUGCAAGGACUAUUGGGGAUGGCCCGGCUACCAUGUCCAUGAUUGCAGGGUCUUGUGGAUACAUUGCUCCUGAGUAUGCCUACACUCUCCAUGUCACUGAAAAGAGUGACAUAUAUAGCUUUGGUGUGGUGAUCCUUGAGCUCGUUACCGGAAAGAAGCCGCUGGCAGCAGAGAUUGGCGAGAUGGACCUGGUGGCGUGGGUGACUGCCAAAGUUGAGCAGUACGGGCUAGAGUCUGUGCUUGACCAGAACCUCGACGAGCAGUUCAAGGACGAGAUGUGCAUGGUUCUGAAAAUCGGGCUGCUCUGUGUCUCAAACCUUCCAACCAAACGCCCGUCAAUGAGGUCCGUGGUGAUGCUGCUGCUGGAGGUCAAGGAAGAGAACAAGCCAAAGCUGAAGGCGGUGGCAACUCUGCCCAUCUGACCUGGAGGAGGCGACCCCAUCUGAUCAAUAAUAACAAAUAAAAGUAGUGUCUGUUCUUCUUGGGAUAGUGUACUAAAAAAACUAUUUGCAUUAUAUCUGAUCUUGAGAAGUUCAUUC